CGCUUUAUUCAGCUCCAGCCACGGAGCACCCGGAGCCUCCCUGGGAUCCCUGAGAAUGCCCAGAGUGCUCAUCCCUGGGAUCUGGCCCCACGGAGCGUCCAGAGCCUCCCUGGGAUCUCUGGGGUUGUCCCUGUGGAUCCUGGGGGUCUCCCUGUGGAUCCCGGGGGUUCCCUGGGAAUGCCCAGAGCGCUCAUCCCUGGGAUCCGGCCCCAUGGAGCCCCCGGAGCCUCCCUGGGAUCUCUGGGAAUGCCCAGAGCUCAUCCCUGGGAUGUCUGGGAAUGCCCAGAGCCUCCCUGGGAUCUCUGGGAAUGCCCAGAGCACUCAUCCCUGGGAUCCGGCCCCACGGAGCCUCCCUGGGAUCUCUGGGAAUGCCCAGAGCUCAUCCCUGGGAUGUCUGGGAAUGCCCAGAGCUCAUCCUGGGAUUGUCCUGGGAAUGCCCAGAGCUCAUCCCUGGGAUGUCUGGGAAUGCCCAGAGCUCAUCCCUGGGAUGUCUAGGAAUGCCCAGAGCUCAUCCCUGGGAUGUCUGGGAAUGCCCAGAGCUCAUCCCUGGGAUCUGGCCCCACGAUCCCGGCCGGAGCAGCGCUCCAGGACACACCUGAGCUGUCGGGAAGCGGCUCCGGAGCUUCCCUGGUGUCCCUGGGAAAAGCCCCCGGCGCCGCCAGCCCUGGCUUUUCCCGGGAUUUCCCGGCAGGGCGGGAAGCAGCAGCCCCCCCCCGGAGCCUUCCCAAGCCCCCCUGGGAGCGGCAGAGCCGGGACAACAGUGGUUGUAUCCCUUUGGAAGAGGAGGAGGAGGAGGAGGAUGGUCCGUGGCUCCAGGCAGCCCGGAGCAAACUCCCCCCCAGGGACUGAAUCCCUUGGAACAGUCAGGAAAAAACAGGGAAAAGUGCAAUCCAAGGCAGGAAAAGGAGGAGCAGGGCAAAGGGAGACGGUGCCGAGGGUCCCCCUGGAGCCGGGAAUGCCGGGAUGGGGGGGAGCCAGAGGAUCCUGGGGGUCUCCCUGGGAAUCCUGGGGGUCUCCCUGGGUAUCCUGGGGAUCUCCCUGGGAAUCCUGGAGUGUCCCUUUGGAUCCUGGGGGUCUCCCUGGGCAUCCUGGGGGUCUCCCAGAGGAUCCUGGGGAUCUCCUUGGGGAUCCUGGGGGUCUCCCAGAGGAGCCUAGGGAUCUCCUUGGGGAUCCUGGGGGUCUCCCAGAGGAUCCUGGGGUUGUCCCUGCAGAUCCUGGG
rnacentral:lncRNA from 1 species